UCCCACUUCAACAUCAAAAUCUGCAUGCUGUCCCUCCACCAACUCCAAGCUCUCCAUCCUGUAGCUUUCCCCAGCCACUGCUGGGAGUACAGAAGUAGACCUCACUGCCAAUGCUGAGGUGAUGGACAAAUUCCAAUUUGGAUACCAGCCUGAUGACUGAAGCUGUAACAUGGAGCCAACAAGAAAAAGAAAAUUCCUAUGACACAAAUGCCUGUGACUCCCUGUUUCACAGCACAGACCUUGGGAAUCAUCACCUGAUAUGCAUAUGUUACUACAAAUUUUAUAAAAAUUAUACAGAAGAACAAAGAGAUUUCUUGGACUGCUAAUAGCAUAUCUGAUUGGCAUAAUAGCUAUUGCAACUACAGCCACUGUUGCAGGAACAGCGCUACAUCAAUCUAUUCAAACUACAGCAUUUGUUCAAAAAUGGCAUACAAAUUCCUCAGAUGCACAAGAAAAACCCUCUCAGAUCUAAAGCAGAAAGAAGCUGCUUGGUCCAUUCUGUCUACAUUGAAGAAACAAAAAGGGGGACAUAUGGGGAACCAAGCUUUUCAUGUCACUUAGACCUUGUCUGGGGUGGUGGCCUGGAAUGCUGGGCCACAAGCCUGCAUGCAAAACCAUGCAGGCAUGCCUUGUAAAGAUGUGUGUCUUGUGACUAUGACAGCAGCAUUAAACAUUGAGCCCAGAUUAUUCCUUCUUAUCUGCAGCAGGAUGUAAAGAUUAAUAUCUGAGAGACCCUGAAUGCUUUUGAUCAUGUAGCAUAGUCUUGCUUUAUGUAACAAAUAAAUAAAUAACUGGAACACAGGUGCAUUAGCACCCACUUGGCAUACAAUGCUGUGGGUCCCCUGCUCCCUUAAAACUUAACU